UUGAAUGAGCAAAAUGGCAUGAUUCAACACUUCAUGAAUUGUUUGUUAGAAUCAUCCAAUUCGCACUCGCUUUAACUAAACUACAAUAUAAAUAGAAAUCAACAAGAACUACCAUUUGCCAGAAAACUCCUCUUCGAUAAUAAAUCAAUCCUUACACUCAAAGAGAUUUCUAAAACAAACAAUGGCUGGAGAAUUCAGACUACACCAACUUUUCUCUGAAAUAGAGAAAGAAGAAACAUUUAUAGAGGAGCGCAAAGAACUCCUUAUAGUUAUAGCCGGGGAAUUCUCUAUCUUCUUUGAAUGAGGAGGGAGAGUACUCAUUCCCCUUCCUCUGGUCGAGUGGCUUCACUCCUAUAAAGCUAGUUCUCACUUUCGAGCUCUUACUCCUCAUUGAAAAAUAAAGCACGGAGGGAGAAGGUUGACUUUGAGAAAGAAGGCGUUCGUUGCCACUUUAUUAGUAAGUUUACCUCAAAGAAAAGUUGGUGUAGUCUAAAUUCUCCAGCCAUUGUUCUAGAAAUCUCUUAGAGCGGGCGCGAAUUGGAUGAUUCAACAAACAAUUCAUCAGUUGUUGAAUAAUGCCAUUUUGCUGAUUCAACUUUCUGAUAAAACUAUAAUCAUUGUGUGGUAAAGUGGGUUUAGAUUCGAAGAAGUCAUCACUUGUUGCUCAUUUCGCCCACUAUUGGCCUCAACCAAUAGAAGCCUUUAUUUAUUUCCGUAAAUGAACAUCUUUUGUUAGGGAACACAUGUUCCUUUGGACCAAAGGUAGAGCCAAAAUUUCCUUUGUUAGACGGAAAAAGGGUAGUGUAACUCUGAUAUGUUUGUUUGAUCGUUCUUUCUUCGAGUGGGUUUAUGUGAGUGUUGCACAUUGUAACUCCAACUAUCUAGUUUCUUGCUAGAGAUGUCGUUUUUGUCUGUGAAUAUAUUGAUGUUUUUGUUGCAGGCCAAAAUAAGGAAAAACAAAUGAGACAUCUUUGAAAACAAUGGUUUGCGUGAGUUUUUAUCUUCAAUAUUAAAUAUAUUUUGAUUCAAUAAAGAAAAAUCAUAGUACUGACAUAGUCUUAUUUAUUGACUUCAAAAUCAAAAUAUGUUAAUGGCAUUAUCAUUUUAAUUAAUCAUACCAUAGUCCUUAUAGUAUAAGAUAUCCAACAAAAAAUAGGUUGCUGCACUUUUCCACAAGUCUGGCUGUGUUGAUGGAAUGCCGGUAUUACUACGUAAAGAAUGUUUACAAAUCAUUAAUCACCUUUUUUACCAAACGCUCCAAAAAGAAAGAGAGAGGGUAGGAGAAAGAAAAAGGGGGUGUCGGUCUGCUUCCGGCGAACUCCCAGUCGAUGAUGGCAAUCAGAUAGAAGAUCCAAGGGGUGGUCAUGGAAUCUAGUGGUUCCUUUGAAGACUCGAGUGACGAUGGCCUAAAACAA